rnacentral:rRNA from 1 species
UACGGGGGGGGCAAGCGUUGUUCGGAAUUACUGGGCGUAAAGGGCUCGUAGGCGGCCAACUAAGUCAGACGUGAAAUCCCUCGGCUUAACCGGGGAACUGCGUCUGAUACUGGAUGGCUUGAGGUUGGGAGAGGGAUGCGGAAUUCCAGGUGUAGCGGUGAAAUGCGUAGAUAUCAGGAGGAACACCGGUGGCGAAGGCGGAUCUCUGGGCCUUACCUGACGCUCAGGUGCGAAAGCUAGGGGAGCGAACAGG